CGAUUGUCUUUACAAGCUGUUUGUAUUUUACUGCUUUUUGUGGAGCUGCAGUCAGCACCAUACUGGAACAGAAGAAGAGCAUACAGAAAAUGAUCAUCCUCUCCAUACUGAUGAGUUCUGUUUUAAAAUGUGUCAGGAGCAAAGUUAUGCUAUCCAAGAUGAACACUUCAGUUUGAACUGUUCUCAGGCUGUAUGGGCACAAUAAUUGAAGAAAUGCACACUGACAGAGAAAGUGAAAAAUAAGGACAAAGAAGAACUUCCUUUAUGUCUAGGCAGUGGAGAAAACUCCUUGAUAUCCCUCUGAUCAGAUAAGCGCCCAGGAACAGUGUCACUGGGGCACUUCUGUGGCAUGGCAAGAAAUGGUGGGGACAGAGGAACAGCAUGAGACUGCAGUGCGGAAGUUGGUCGGCUUCCCCUUAGGACUACUGCAAGUCCCCAGGUCAGCAUGUUAAGCGAACCUUGGAAAAACUAUUGUGUGAUCAGACACCGCACUGAAGCAGCAGCACCCAUUCGGUAAAGGUACUCUUAGAUAAAAAGCUGAAUGCUGUGGUUUCAAUGACUUAUCGUUGAAACCUUGUGGUUUCUGUGUAGGAGGUUGUACAAGCUGGACACGUUUGACAUCCUUGUUUCUGAGCUGUGAAAUCUGUACAUCUAAUUUAUGAAAAUUAUCUCUGGUUUAAUUUUAUUCUUUUUUUUUAAUGAAGUCAACAUGAUAUUUCCCUUGCAUUCAGUGGAAACAAUAAUGGAAAUGUUUUAAGAUGUUCUGUGAACCUGUUUUGACCUCAAAAGGGAAAAGAAUCAAGAUAUUCUUGAUUAUGAUUAAGGUUUAAGAAGGAAAUUAAAAUUAAAUAAAGGGACUUAUAGAUGGAGGGGAGAAGACGGAGUGGAGAAGAAAACGUCUCUCCAGUGUGGAGACAAAUUAAGAAGUUAACUGUGGGAAGUGACACAGACAUUAUAAGAUCAGAAUCUUGCAAGUGAGAAUUUGAUAUAAAAAAACCUACUAAAAUCUACUUAAGUAAGGAAAUUUAGAAUGAACAAUGGUACUGGUACCAUUUGGGAGACCCUGCAAUAUCUGUAGUCUUUCACAUGAUCUAAGUAAACUGGUAAGAUUACACAUGGGGUAAAUACAAGACCAGUGGAGCUACUUUAAAGGUUGGACAAAGAGGGAGCUGCAGCAGAAGCAAUUGCAAUCCCAAAGAAUCAUUAUUGAGCACCAGGUCAGUAAUGUGUCUUUUUUUUCCCUGGUUUAGUUUUAUGAUAGUUCAGUGAAUGGAUUCAGUCCCUCAAGGGGGUAAAGUGUGCUAAUGUUGCUACAAACAACAUAGCAGGCAUGCACAGCUGGAAUUGGAAGGAGGGGAAAGCAAAUUUCUUGUCUUCUCUGCUGCCUAGCAGUAGCAGAGACACAUUCACGUCUGCGUCAGUGGACUGGACCUGGGAGAGUCGUGGACCCACCCGCAUUACCGUGCUCUCUCUCACCUUGCUCUUCCUCUUCCUUCUGCUCUGAUGAGCGCCUACCAUCCAACAAGUCCCCAGAGAGCUAGGCUGCUGGCAGCACAGGAGACUUGAUCCUCUGGUAUUGGCAAAUCGUAUUCCCUUCACUGGCAUGAGCAGCAGAACCACACUGACUGCCUAAAUGUAGAGGUUUUGAGCCACAGCAAGUUUUGCCUCUGGAAGGUAAGUUCUCAGAAGCAUGUACACCAUUCCCUAUGGUCAAGCUUCAUAAGUGAAACUAUGAAAAUGUAUUAGAAAUGAACACAGGCUUCUGAAUACCAAACAAAGGAAAAGAAAAAGAAUAUUCAAGGUUCACAACAGACCUGCAAAGUUUCUUGCUAAAUUAUAACUGAAGUUAGUACCUGUGUGAAAAGUAACUACUCAGUGCAUCUGUGGGAGUAGAAAAAUCCACCUGAAAGCAUUAGCCAAAGACUAUGUAAUACUUUUGUGUGAGUAAUAAUUGAAAGUGUGAUCACCCACUAUCAGUUCAUUUCAGGGGGAUGACUGCAAGAUUCAUAUUAAUAAUUUUCAAUAAUUUCUAUAUCAAAACAUUGGUAUAUGACCAUGGAUUUUUUUUUCUUGCUACUAACUGUCUCAUUGUUCCUGAUCAGGAAGUUGCUCCUUUUGCAGAAAAAAAUGUGUUACUCUAAUGUUCUGCCUUUGACUGGAAAAUGAAGGUAUCUUGUACUGCUUGUUUCCUUUCCAGAAAUCUGAGACAAUAAGCAUCAUAACUGCAGCUGUAGGUGAAUAUGCUAGGAAAACAGUAAAAUUGCUGCGUUAGGGUACUCUUCUAGACAAUGAUAUUUUUCUUGCCUGUUAAUCAUGUGCUUGUUGCAGACUUAACACUUGACACCCUGUUCCUUGAGCAAUGUUUUUUGAUCUCUGAGAUAACUGUGGGAAACUGUGAGAGAAAAACAAGGAUGCACAGAAGAUGCCAGUCCAGAUCAAUGGAGACUUUUGAAAAUCAUAUUUUUCCCAUAAUCAUUGCAAACAUGUGGGAAAUGUGGAUAACCAAGGAACAAUUUGCAUUUUGGGGAUCCAAAAUUUAGCUAGAAUCAGUGUCUUAAGGUUAGCAUUCCUCUCCAUAUAGCUGAAUUUCCAGCCUGGAUCCUCCUCCUCUGAUAUCACUAGGUUUACACAACUAUUUAUGGACUGACCCUGAGGGAAACCAGUCUCUAUGCCUCUGUUUUCUCUUUUUCUGUGUAACUCAGCCUACAGUUCUUCAGAUCCCUGGCUGGUGAUGUGCCUAGGUGGUUCUCAUGCCUACUACAUUUACGUUUUCUUAUUUUUCUUUUAUGUAAAGGCAUAAGCCAUUUAAACGUAAGCCAGCAGGCACAAGAAGGAGAGGGUGGGUAUGAGAGCCCCUUACCCGGCCUUCAUCUUCAAACCAGAGCAUCACCUGCUACUGCCGCCUACUGUGCCACAGCUGGCAACCACGUAUGUGCUUGUAGACGAACCACAAGCAAAGUAAAAUGAUUUGAAUUUCUGAGGAUAAAAUCUUCUCACCAAUAUGUGGAUGGGCAUUUUGCAAAUUUUGCCUUAACUAUGGGCGAAGAUAAACUUACCUACCAAAGCAGCAUUCAGCCACCAGAGUUUUCCAGAAGCAGCUCUGCUCGUUGCUCCAAAUGAUGCCUAUUCCUCAACGAACCGUUGUAGCAAUUAUGAAGAUUUCUGCAAUUAGUUUUGGUACUCAGUAUCUAAGCAGUUGGACAAAGUAUGAGAAAAGACUGGCAUGUGAUUUAUACAUGGCAAUAAAAAUGAGAGGGAAAACAGAAGAUAACCAGAUGAAUGCCAACCAUGUUAUUUGCCCUAAGGAAUGACCCAGACAACCGGAGAGAUUCAUAAAUAUUGCAGAAGAGUGUUGAAGAAAAAUAUCUUUAUCCACAUACUUGUGGAGUAACAUUAAAACAUGGCCAAUCUUACCAAGUUUCACAAUGAAUAGUAAGUGGGAACUGAAAAAAACAAACUGUUGCCCAAACAUUGUUACCGUAAAUGUAAAGGAAAAGAAACACUGUAGGUGGGGAUAGUAGUUCUGAGCCAUUCCUUUGGUGUCUCAUAUGUAACUGUCCCAAAAAACCCCAAUAGGACUUCACCGACAGAAAUCUCCCGUUCUGCAAACUGCCUGUCUGUUCUUGCCUCGUUGGCCACAACCUCUAAGCACCUCUGAUGACAAAAUAAGAAUAUCAUUUGACGUAUUUCACAUUUCCAUUUCUGUUUAGUGCUCUUUUUUCCUCCUGUCUGCGGUUGCUUAACCUUGAUCCAGUCAUUCAGGUGAGAACAGAGAAAAGCGGAAACAAGUCUACGUUUUUCCCCGCCGCGUGUUGAGACACAACACGGGCUACUGUCUUAGCCUGGUCAGAGAUGGACUCGGAGGCCUUGAAGCUAAAACACUGUUAAAAAACAAAAUGAUAUUGUGAAUUUGACUCAGUGAUAAUUAAGCCUUCAGCCAAAGGCAGUUUGUUUACUGACUGGCUGCUGAGAAUAGUGACCAUUGGAUUUUCCCCUAGGUAUGGCUUUUGAGCAGUGGAGGAAGUCAUAGGGAAGCACCAUUUUGAUGCCAAAGUCCAGAAGCUGCGAUGCAACCAACGAUCAGCCCUACGUUUUACACGAACUUGCUUUGUGUGUUGUACGUCGUACCCGUUUAGGCCUUUUUAUUUGCAAGCUGUUCAGCUGCAGCCAAAGCUUUUUCACGGAGGGCUUCGAACGCUUCCAGCCACUGCAACGAGGUCGUCGUGUUUGUCUGAGGGAGAGGGAAAGAGGCACCCGUGCUUGUGUCAUGAGAACGUCCUCAAACGUGGCCAGGUCACAACUGAGAGCGCUGCCUUAUCCAGGGAAGCUGGCUGGGCCUUCAGAACUGAAAUCAAGACUUUCUCCUAAUAUCCCCUUAAUAAUCUUUUCCUUAAUAUCCUUAGCCGAGAAAGUCCUGAGAGAGCGAGCGCUGGAGGGCAGAGGCGUUGGCUUGGACAAGGUGGGAGCUGGACAGUAGAGGGAGCUGGCAGGGCUCUGGGUGGUGGGACCAGAAAGGGAGAAAAAUGAGACAAAAUACAGGCAGUGGUGGAAAAGAGAAGGGAGCAGAGGAGGAUGGGAGGCACCUGUGCCCCGCAGGGUGGUGGCAGGGUGGCAGGGCAAGGCAGAGCUGGACGGAGGGCGUACGCCUUCGGUGCUCCCAGUUUGCAUGCUGGCUCGAGGGCCAGCAGCCAGCGUGGGGGCAGUCUAUGUCCCAGUUGACCUGAUCACAGUGAGGGGGGUCCACGUGAUUUCUGGGGUGGGGGUCAGGGCAUCCCUUUUUGUUUCAAAUGUAGGAAAAUAAAUCAACAAAUCAGCUUCUUCUACCUUACCCUGAAAUAAAUCCUGGUAAAAGCUUGUUCAGAGUUCAAAGUCCUGUACUCCAAGUUCAGAAAUGCUCUGACAGCAUUACAGCGCCUUUCUGUGUGACGCUGGGGUGUUCGCAUCCAUCUCCCACCCCUUCGCCCUUGCAUCAGGCGAGGCGGUGGCCAUGGCUUGUGCUGUGAGCAAGGCCUUUACAAGUGCCCAGAAGCUUGCAAAUCCUGAGUCAGACUCCCUCAAAAGAGUGGAUGUUUGGGGAAGGGGGAUUGUAUUUUCUUUUUUGGCUGUGUAACCCUCACUUGUGAGCUUAUGUUUGUUUGCAUGCACGUGUGUGUAAGACACUACAGUGUUAACUUUUUGUCCUGCUGGCUAGGAGUGUGGGGCUUUCAGCUUCUCCCUAGACCACCAAAUCCAAAGUCAGCCUGUGUCCUCUCAUCCCUUUCCACCAGUUCCUCGUCUCACAAUUAAUUCUGCCCCUAAUUUGCUUAUCUGCCCUCACACAUCCCCACCCCUCCCCAGGUGCUCCAUGGGUCCCUCAUCCUCCACUUCUUCCCCCAGUGGGUCCUUACUCACCUGCCCUAUCAGGACAGUUACAACAGCCCUUUUGCCUGCACAGGCCCCUGCCUCCAGCUCCUGGGCUGUAUGUGAUGCUCAGCAAGCCAUAAGGACCAAGAUUUAUCGACUGGGAGUUGGAUGUUGCAUGUUUUCUGGAUCUUCAAAUUAGAAGGUGUGGGACCCUGACAAAGAGGUGAGCGCUAGCAAUGUCAGAAGGCUGUAUCCUGUGCUAAGUACUGGUAAAAAAUACUAGAUACUCAGAAAGAGUAGGCUCUGAGCACGUAAAACUCACCAAUACUUUUAAUUGUCUUGCUUGUAUUCUCCCUUUGUGCUUUAUGUCAUGCGUGAAAUAGUGAAAUAAUGCUGCACAGCUUUUUGGCGGUUUGAAGGUAAAUAUGUUAAUGUUCAUGGGAACAAGGAGAUUUGAGCGCUCCAUGAAAAAAGAAUGAGGACUCUUCCACAAGACCAUCUGCUGGGUUUACGUGGUUCAACAAAUAACAAAAAGAAUGAAUAAGGUCAAUAAACUGAGCAUUUUUUUUUUCUAUCAGUAACAGAAAUCCCAUGGAAAAAUGUUUAAGGUCAUGUAAUUAAAAAAUAACUGAACUCAGCAAGGGACUGAAUUAAGACAGGCAAAAGUAUUUUUUGCCUUUCUUAACUAUGAAAGCUUGACUUUACAAGCUUACUCUUCCUUCCUGGCAAUGCUCUUGUGCCUCCAGAGAGCUGUUAACUCCACUGAAGUCAGGAAAUC